UUCCUACGGGGGGCAGCAGUGAGGAAUAUUGGUCAAUGGCCGAGAGGCUGAACCAGCCAAGUCGCGUGAGGGAUGACGGCCCUACGGGUUGUAAACCUCUUUUGUCGGGGAGCAAGACCCGCCUCGUGCAGGCGGAGCGAGAGUACCCGAAGAAAAAGCAUCGGCUAACUCCGUGCCAGCAGCCGCGGUAAUACGGAGGAUGCGAGCGUUAUCCGGAUUUAUUGGGUUUAAAGGGUGCGUAGGCGGAAUAUCAAGUCAGCGGUAAAAAUUCGGGGCUCAACCCCGUCGUGCCGUUGAAACUGAUG
rnacentral:rRNA from 1 species